AUACUUACCUGGCACAGGGGUUACCGUGAUCAUAAAGGCGGUUCCCCCAGGGCGAGGCCUCUUCAUUGCACUCCGAAGUGGGCUGACCCUUGCGAUUGUCCCUCAUGUGGAUAACUCGUGUGUACAAUUUUUGGUAGCCCGGGGUCAGCGUGCGCGCAGACCAAGA
rfam:Culex pipiens quinquefasciatus supercont3.254 genomic scaffold, whole genome shotgun sequence.